GACGAACGCUGGCGGCGUGCUUAACACAUGCAAGUCGAACGGUAAGGCCCUUCGGGGUACACGAGUGGCGAACGGGUGAGUAACACGUGGGUGAUCUGCCCUGCACUUCGGGAUAAGCCUGGGAAACUGGGUCUAAUACCGGAUAGGACCACUGCCUGCAUGGGUGGUGGUGGAAAGCUUUUGCGGUGUGGGAUGGGCCCGCGGCCUAUCAGCUUGUCGGUGGGGUGAUGGCCCACCAAGGCGACGACGGGUAGCCGGCCUGGAGAGGGUGACCGGCCACACUGGGACUGAGAUACGGCCCAGACUCCUACGGGAGGCAGCAGUGGGGAAUAUUGCACAAUGGGCGCAAGCCUGAUGCAGCGACGCCGCGUGAGGGAUGACGGCCUUCGGGUUGUAAACCUCUUUCAGCACCGACGAAGCGCAAGUGACGGUAGGUGCAGAAGAAGGACCGGCCAACUACGUGCCAGCCGCCGCCGUAA
rnacentral:rRNA from 1 species